rnacentral:rRNA from 1 species
CGGACGGGUGAGUAACGCGUGGGGAACCUGCCCUGUACCGGGGGAUAGCAGCCGGAAACGGCUGAUAAUACCGCAUAAGCGCACGAAUGUCGCAUGACAUGGUGUGAAAAACUCCGGUGGUAUAGGAUGGACCCGCGUCUGAUUAGCCUGUUGGUGGGGUAAAAGCCUACCAAAGCGAAGAUCAGUAGCCGAGUUGAGAGACUGACCGGCCACAUUGGGACUGAGACACGGCCCAGACUCCUACGGGAGGCAGCAGUG